rnacentral:rRNA from 1 species
AACGGCCGCGGUAUCCUAACCGUGCGAAGGUAGCGUAAUCACUUGUUCUUUAAAUAAGGACUGGUAUGAAUGGCACCACGAGGGUUACACUGUCUCCUCUUUCUAAUCAGUGAAACUAAUCUCCCCGUGAAGAAGCUGGGAUUUUUUUAUAAGACGAGAAGACCCUAUGGAGCUUUAAACUACUAACACUUGCUGCCAUUCACUCCCCCUUCCAGAAACUUUUUAUUAAGCAUAGCAUCAUGAUUAAUAGUUUUCGAUUGGGGUGAUCGCGGAGUAAAAAACAACCUCCAUGCCGAAAGGGCUUCCUCCCCUGAGCCAAAAGCUACAACUUAAAGCACUAAAAAAUUAACGUUUAUUGACCCAAUAAUUUUGAUCAACGAACCAAGUUACCCUAGGGAUAACAGCGCAAUCCACUUCAAGAGCUCCUAUCGACAAGUGGGUUUACGACCUCGAUGUUGGAUCAGGGAAUCCCAGUGGUGCAGCCGCUACUAACGGUUCGUUUGUUCAACGAUUAAAACCCUACGUGAUCUGAGUUCAGACCGGAGUAAUCCAGGUCAGUUUCUAUCUAUAAAGGGCUUUUUCUAGUACGAAAGGACCGAAAAAGCAUGGCCAAUGACUUAUUAAGCCAUUUUAAUUAUUUAUGACAUCAACUCAAUCAAUAUAAAACCUAAUUCCCCACUCAAGAAAAGAGAAGUUAACGUAGCAUAACCUGGCUUUGCAA